rnacentral:rRNA from 1 species
CGGGAAGUGGAGAGCGGCGAACGGGUGAGUAACACGUAAGUAACCUACCCCUAAAUCUGGGACAACCUUUCUAACGAGGGGCUAAUACCGGAUGUGAUUAUAACAUCUCAUGUUGUAAUAAUUAAAGAUGACCUCUACUUGUAAGUUAUUGUUUAGGGAUGGGCUUGCGGACCAUUAGUUUGUUGGUGGGGUAAUGGCCUACCAAGACUACGAUGGUUAGCCGACCUGAGAGGGUGAUCGGCCACAUUGGGACUGAGAUACGGCCCAGACUCC